GCAAAGGGGAAAAAUUCAGUGAAAACGCCCCCCUAACAUGGCUUCAAGAGGGAGAAUGUUGGUUCAAAGGAACGCGAUGUGCUUAGAGAUAAAGAAGAGGUGAGCUGCAGGGAAUAUCUUCUGAAGAUCCCCACCCUGGAUCCUGCAGCAAUUUCUGCCAAUGUUUAGGACGACAGUGAUAAUGAAGAACAAAAUAAUAAACAUGUUAUACUCUC